CACGUAGGGCGCGAGCGUUGUCCGGAAUUACUGGGCGUAAAGCGUGCGCAGGCGGUUUUGUAAGCCAGAUGUGAAAUCCCCGGGCUUAACCUGGGAAUGGCAUUUGGGACUGCAAGGCUGGAGUGUGGCAGAGGAGACUGGAAUUCCUGGUGUAGCAGUGAAAUGCGUAGAUAUCAGGAGGAAUACCGAUGGCGAAGGCAGGUCUCUGGGCUGACACUGACGCUCAUGCACGAAAGCGUGGGGAGCAAACAGG
rnacentral:rRNA from 1 species